UCCGGCUUAUCACCGGCAGUCCCACUAGAGUGCCCAACUGAAUGAUGGCAACUAAUGGCGAGGGUUGCGUUCGUUGCGGGACUUAACCCAACAUCUCACGACACGAGCUGACGAAAGCCAUGCAGCACCUGUACUAGCUCCCCGAAGGGUCCUUCAUCUUUCGAAUCCGUACCACUAGCAUGUCAAGCCUUGGUAAGGUUCUUCGCGUUGCAUCGAAUUAAACCACACGCUCCACCGCUUGUGCGGGCCCCCGUCAAUUCCUUUGAGUUUUAGUCUUGCGACCGUACUUCCCAGGCGGAGAACUUAAUGCGUUAGCUACGGCACCGCAGGGGUCAACACCCACGACACCUAGUUCUCAUCGUUUACGGCGUGGACUAC
rnacentral:misc_RNA from 1 species